rnacentral:rRNA from 1 species
GUACACGCUGUGACUAGCAUAUCAAUAAGCGGAGGAAAAGAAGCUAACAAGGAUUCCCCUAGUAACGGCGAGUGAAGCGGGAAGAGCUCAAAUUUGAAAUCUUAAAGGGUUUCCCUUUACGAAUUGUAGUUUAAAGAAGUGUUUUCUGUUGAGGUUUUGGUAAAAGUUCUUUGGAAUAGGACAUCAUAGAGGGUGAGAAUCCCGUAUUUGACCUUUACUUUCAACUUUGUGAUACACUUUCAAAGAGUCGGAUUGUUUGGGAAUGCAGUCCAAAAUGGGUGGUAAAUUUCAUCUAAAGCUAAAUAUUGGCGAGAGACCGAUAGCGAACAAGUACCGUGAGGGAAAGAUGAAAAGAACUUUGAAAAGAGAGUUAAACAGUACGUGAAAUUGUCAAAAGGGAAGCGUUUGACACCAGUGUUGUUUUUCUGAAAAUCAAUUAAAGAACUGUUUAUGCUAAGUUGUUUAGACUUUAUCAGCUGAUCUGUUUAGUUUUGAGCUUUUCUUUAAUGCACUUUUCAGUUAACAAGUCAACAUCAAUUUCUUUUGCUGUAAAAAAGCUUGAGGAAGGUGGCUUGAGAUUCGUCUUAAGUGUUUAUAGCCUCUUGCCUAUGCAGUCGGAGAGAUUGAGGUCUGCAGCGUAGAUCCUUCGGGGCUAAAUGCAUUUGUGCUAAGUUAUAGCAUUUUAUAGACAACUUGUUGACUAUGAUUUGUCUUGUAGCUUACUCGCUUAUGUUAUUUUACCUACGCUUAGGAUGUUGAUCUACAGAGCGAGAGU